GAGCCUUGAUGUGUAGGAUAGGUGGGAGGCUUUGAAGUGUGGACGCCAGUCUGCAUGGAGCCGACCUUGAAAUACCACCCUUUAAUGUUUGAUGUUCUAACGUGGACCCGUAAUCCGGGUUGCGGACAGUGUCUGGUGGGUAGUUUGACUGGGGCGGUCUCCUCCUAAAGAGUAACGGAGGAGCACGAAGGUUGGCUAAUCCUGGUCGGACAUCAGGAGGUUAGU
rnacentral:rRNA from 1 species